AGAAUCAACGCUGGCGGCGUGCCUAACACAUGCAAGUCGCACGAGAAAGGGGCUUCGGCUCUGAGUAAAGUGGCGCACGGGUGAGUAACACGUGAAUAAUCUACCUCCGAGUGGGGAAUAACUGAGAGAAAUCUUAGCUAAUACCGCAUAACACUUACGAGUCAAAGCAGCGAUGCGCUUGGAGAGGAGUUCGCGGCCGAUUAGUUAGUUGGCGGGGUAAUGGCCCACCAAGACGAUGAUCGGUA
rnacentral:rRNA from 1 species